UACGUAGGCAGCGAGCGUUGUUCGGAAUUACUGGGCGUAAAGAGUGUGUAGGCGGCCAUCUAAGUCAGACGUGAAAUCCCCCGGCUUAACCUGGGAACUGCGUCUGAUACUGGACGGCUGGAGUUUGGGAGAGGGAUGUAGAAUUCCAGGUGUAGCGGUGAAAUGCGUAGAUAUCAGGAGGAAUACCGGUGGCGAAAGCGACUCUCUGGACGGCAACUGACGCUGAGGCACGAAAGCGUGGGGAGCAAACAGG
rnacentral:rRNA from 1 species